rnacentral:rRNA from 1 species
UCUAGGGCUAUAUCACCCUCCAUCUCUUGCCUGGUUUCCCACUGAAGCUAAGCAGGGUUGAGCGUGGCCAGUACCUUCAUGGGAGACCUCCUGGGAAAACUAAGGUUGCUGCUGGAA